rnacentral:lncRNA from 1 species
UUUAUGUGUUUACUUAUUUAUAGACCCUCUCUCUUAUUAGAAUUUAAGCCCCCUGAUGUAAGCAACCAUGUCUAACCUCUCUGUCUCAAUUUUAUAGGAGUACCUGGUAUAAAGUCAGCAUUCAAUACUUAUUGAAUGAGUGAAAGGAUGCAUAAAUUAAUCAAGAAUGAAUGGUUGUUGAUCCUUGAUUGUGGAACUAAUAUCAUCAGGUGUAUGACAUCUCUUGACAACAUAAAACUUUCAAGCAGACUGAGUAAGACCAUAAUGUGGGACUGAAUAUAACAAGUAUUUUACAUAAAGCAUUCUGAUUGAGAAGAAGUUGAGUCCAUAGAGGGAGCCAACAGUUGAAAAGAGUCCGGGUUUAAGGGCAAGAACAACAGUUUAAAAUGUGUGAUUAAUCCACCUGUUCACAAACAUGCGCACUCCAACCACAACAGAGACAGUGGAAGAGAAGCAAAAGGGAGAGGUAAUUGGCUAUUACAUCAUGAUAAAUGGGUGGCUUAUUGGUUCAAUAAAAAGGUCCAGGGGCUGAGUUCA